rnacentral:rRNA from 1 species
UACGUAGGGUGCAAGCGCUAAUCGGAAUUACUGGGCGUAAAGCGUGCGCAGGCGGUUUUGUAAGUCUGUCGUGAAAGCCCCGGGCUUAACCUGGGAAUUGCGAUGGAGACUGCAAGGCUUGAAUCUGGCAGAGGGGGGUAGAAUUCCACGUGUAGCAGUGAAAUGCGUAGAGAUGUGGAGGAACACCGAUGGCGAAGGCAGCCCCCUGGGUCAAGAUUGACGCUCAUGCACGAAAGCGUGGGGAGCAAACAGG